rnacentral:lncRNA from 13 species
GCAGCAUUUCCCAGAGCCAAUCAUCUGUGCUUCAGCUGAUCAGGGUGCAAGCUGAACUCUGACUUGCCUGGCUGAGCCUGCCAAGAAAAGCAUUAGCUAAGCAGAAACAGUGUGUGGCUUGGGGCAGAAACUGUCUUUCAUAUCUAUUUCUGCACUGGCAAUAUGGUCAGACUAUGGACCUUGAAGUUGUAAGACUGCAGAGCAUGAACCCAACAAACCAACUUCUUAUCAGUUUGACAGGCUGUGACUGUUGUCCUGGUGACUGGUGUAGUUGCACUAUCAGCAUGUACAGAAGGCAGAGAAAGAGAAGCCUCAGUGUGUGGGUGUAGCUGUGCAUGCACAUGACAUGCCAGGAAGUCACUGGGAUACGUGCAGGUAAGAUCCAAGUCUUGGGCUAUGUAUGUGAAAGAUGAAGGAAAAAAAAAUGGAGAAGCAAGCAAAGUUAAUAGCUAUAAGAGAAGAAAUGGGGCUGUGUGUAGGAGUUGCAAAUGCA